AGGCAGUUGAUUUCAUGUACCACCAAGCCUCCAGCAGUACUAGGUUUCAGGAGAAGCCAGUUACUACAAGGAUGCCCACCUCUGAUGUAUAUGAACUUUCAUCUGUCAAUCAGACUCCAAGGAGGUGAUGCCAUUGCUACAACCUCCUAGUUCCAGAUCAGGGUACCCUGGACCCUGAUUGUGAAUUACAUGGUGUCUUCAAUAGGGACUUUCAUCUCUGGAGCUCAACAAAGGACAAUAGCAGUAGGCUGUGUGUUUUGGAAGUCUAUCAGAAAGCUCUGGACAACAACCCAAAAGAGAUUCUCAUGUCUGGUGCUGCAGGUCCCCAGUGCACCAGCUCUGAUCUCUCUCUCUCUUCAGUUAAGCAGAACUUGAUGCAGAGUCACAUCUUUAUAGGAGAAUGAGCUUGGGCUCAGUCACCUACCUUCCAAGAGCAUGCAGGACUACAAAGGAAAUCCAUAAGGUGGCAUUAGAUCGCACCAGAACUUCAUACUUUAUAUAUUGAUGGCUCACUCUCCGGAAAUAUGUGAGAACACUCAUGAGCAGACCUGCCUGCAGUGCCUGGAGGCUGUUUAAAUCCAUGUGCAAUGAUAACCUGAGGUUAUCUAACCAGGCGUUUUCCUCAUUGCUCUUGAGGUAAGCACUUCUGUUGUCGUACUUCUCCUUCGCCAAAGCUGGCUAACUCAACCACUGAGAAGAGAACACGUAUCCGUUCAUGGGAACAUGGACAGAAGUGACUAGACUUCAGCAUCUGCCAGUUUUCCUGAAUAAUAACCACAGCAAUUCAUUAAAGUGGCUUCAUCCUGAAAA